rnacentral:rRNA from 1 species
UACGGAGGGUGCAAGCGUUAUCCGGAUUCACUGGGUUUAAAGGGUGCGUAGGUGGGCAAGUAAGUCAGUGGUGAAAUCUCCGGGCUUAACCCGGAAACUGCCAUUGAUACUAUUUGUCUUGAAUACUGUGGAGGUCAGCGGAAUAUGUCAUGUAGCGGUGAAAUGCUUAGAUAUGACAUAGAACACCAAUUGCGAAGGCAGCUGGCUACACAAAUAUUGACACUGAGGCACGAAAGCGUGGGGAGCAAACAGG